rnacentral:rRNA from 1 species
AUGAUCGCCACAUGUCCAGCUAAUCUGAUGGCUAAGCCUUACCUGGUGGAGUGCAAUUCUGAACUUCUUCUGGUCGGCUAUACCGACAGACACUUGCAGCUUGUGGUUAUCCGGCUUGCUGACCUCCUGCUCGGAGUCCCUGCCACGCCAUUGACAAGCAUCGGCGACCAUUCCCUGUUCAUUCGUACUUGGAGCAUGGCUGUCAACUGCAGCAACCUACCAUCCGUUCAGGGGAACUCCGUCACCAUCCUCAACCCACCUAGCAGCGGCCGACUGCGGCAAUAUGAUCUGGGCAGAGGUACCUGGUCGCCGCUGUGUGAUAGAAACUUCUACACUGUCAGCGGCCCCAUACCGAGGCCAUACAGUCUUGUCCACCACAUUGUCAGUUGUUGCCAGCGUCUUUACUGGAUCAAUGGGCACAUCUGGACCCGCCACCAUUACUCUGAACAUCGUUGGCAUAUAGUCGCUGUAGUACAUAGAAAUGUUUGCACAGUCUGCAGUGAUCAGUUGAAGGCUAUUCAUGCUUCCAAGAUCUACGUUGAAUGUCUCGGCUUUGCAGGUUAUCAAACAGCUUCGUGUGGUACGAACAUAUGGCGACAGAUGGUUUAG